GGAGGUCAGGUAGAGAAUACCAAGGCGCUUGAGAGAACUCGGGUGAAGGAACUAGGCAAAAUGGUGCCGUAACUUCGGGAGAGGGCACGCUGACACGUAGGUGAAGUGAUUUACUCAUGUGGCUGAAGUCAGUCGAAGAUACCAGCUUGCUGCAACUGUUUAUUAAAAACACAGCACUGUGCAAACAAGAAAGUGGACGUAUACGGUGUGACGCCUGCCCGGUGCAGGAAGGAUAAUUGAUGCGGUCCGCGUAAGCGAAGCUCCUGAUCGAAGCCCCGGUAAACGGCCGCCGUAACUAUAACGGUCCUAAGGUAGCGCAAUUCUUUGUCGGGUAAGUUCAGACCCGCACGAAUGGCGUAAUGAUGGCCAGGCUGUCUCCACCCGGGACUCAGUGAAAUUGAACUCGCUGGGAAGAUGCA
rnacentral:rRNA from 1 species